AUUUGUGGUCUGGGGUGCCUUUUGGCUGAGAUAAUACCCAUGGAACCUGAUGCAGUUGACGCUGCCGUAGGAAGAUCAACCCUGAAAGAC
rnacentral:ncRNA from 2 species